rnacentral:ribozyme from 14 species
CACAUUUUUAAUCCUGUUCACUUCUUGCUUCUGUUUCAUCUUUUUUGUUUUGUUUGGCUUUUCCUUUUCGUUUUCAAAAAAGAAAAAGAAGAACUGGUUGUUCAUCUUGUAAAAAGCAGCCUGAGAGACGCCAAAUGAAAUAGAACUUGGUUUGUCCAGAACCUAAUCCUUACAGAUCUUAAUUUCUUUCAAGGUCGACAGUCCCAAUUCGUAGGAGUACUGAAGUGUUGAAAGAGAGAUAACAAAUCAUCAAUCUGUUACACAAUAUUUC